AUUGUAUCCACGAUUGGGGAAUUUUCCGCAAUGGGCGAAAGCCUGACGGAGCAAUACCGCGUGAGGGAGGAAGGUCUGUGGAUUGUAAACCUCUUUUGAUAGGGAAGAAGUUCUGACGGUACCUAUCGAAUCAGCAUCGGCUAACUCCGUGCCAGCAGCCGCGGUAAUACGGAGGAUGCAAGCGUUAUCCGGAUUUAUUGGGCGUAAAGCGUCCGUAGGUGGUUAUUCAAGUCUAUUGUCAAAGCCUGGGGCUUAACCCUGGAGAGGCGGUGGAAACUGAAUAACUAGAGUGCGGUAGGGGCAGAGGGAAUUCCCAGUGUAGCGGUGAAAUGCGUAGAUAUUGGGAAGAACACCGGUGGCGAAAGCGCUCUGCUGGGCCUGCACUGACACUGAGGGACGAAAGCUAGGGGAGCGAAAGGGAUUAGAUACCCCUGUAGUCAAUCGUGGAUACAAU
rnacentral:rRNA from 1 species